GAAAAUUACAAGCAUAAGCUUAAAACUCAAAGGACUUGGCGGCGUUUUAGAUCCACCUAGAGGAGCCUGUCCUACAACCGAUAACCCACGUUAAACCUUACCUUCUUUUGCACUCAGUCUAUAUACCGCCGUCGUCAGCUCACCUUUUGAGAGCCUUAUUAGUAAGCAAGAUUGGUCAAGCCCAAGACGUCAGGUCGAGGUGUAACACAUAAGAAGCGAAGAGAUGGGCUACAUUUCCUGCCUAGGGUCUCCCGGAAAAUAUUUUGAAAUUAAAUAUAUUGAAGAAGGAUUUAGCAGUAAGUAAAAACCAGAAAGUUUU
rnacentral:rRNA from 1 species